GCCUGCUCUCCCAUAACUCUUCAGAGCACUCCUUAUGCUGGAGCAUGUUCCCGAUUUACUUUGUAACUCAAAGGCACUUAACUAAGUUAUUGCCUCUGAGAUUCUACGAUCCCCUUGGUUGUAGAAUAUCCACUACCUCUAUUAGGUUCAUUGUGCGACUUAGUUGAGGAAGAACCAGGGUAUCUUAAGCUUUUUAGAGUGUGAGAGUUAACCUUAGCAUUUACUCUGCCCUUGAUGGGUAUAACGAAGGGCUGUGAGGACCCAGGUUUGCUGGCUCCUGUGAUGAAGAACAGCACUUUGAAAAGGAAUUCUAGAGUCGGAGCUGGAGGCCUUGCUAUCAGAACCCUUAUUCCUGGUCAAGUAAAGAAGCAACUGUUGAAGCUCGAGGCUGCGUCCGGAUUCUCAGUUUUGUGUCUUUUUGUCUUUGCCCUGGAGAAGGUGGGAGCAGAUGCCCAUCUUGUAGCCUUGGCUACAGUAAAGACUUAAGAAGAACGAAAGGCUCCAAGAAGCGUGUGCUGCUGUGACGUUUCAACUCGCAAUGGAGUUGCCCCAAGGGAACUGCGGUGUUCCUGUCAGUCAAGAAUUUUCCCAGGUUUCAAGCAUUCAUGUCAGGAGAGUAGGAGAGUACCAUAGCAAAGCUUCACUAGAAUCGAUAAAACUCAUAAAAGGAAGGUGGCACGGACCAUUUGGCCAAGAAGAAUCAAACCAGUUUCUAAGUCCCUGACCCAUUCCUUGUCUUUUGUCUGAAUAGGUUUACACAAGAGUCUGCAUAGGCAUUUGCUCUUAGGUUUGGUGGUGUUUAAUGAAACUUCCUCCAGCAUGAGAAUAGAACGACUGUCCAUGGGUUUUCCAAGGUUUUGAGGCAGCCUUCUAGCUGCUUAUGCUCUCAAAUGGAGGAGGUCUUUUCUCUAACCUAGGCAUUACCACAAACCUGCCUGACAGCCAUUCUGUGGGAUGUUCUUGGUGAAGUCCAGUGCUUGCUGGCUGAAUGCCUGUGCCUCAGUACUUGAGCAGCACUGGGUUAUCUCUGAAUUCUAUGUGGUCCUCUUCAAGGUCAGUGCCUGCUUCACCUCUUCAGCUCUAGACUUAUUCCUGUGUGGUUGGACAAAAGUGACAUUGGAAUGGAAACUGUUUCUUUUUGAUGUGAAUACACUUGGACAGAGUUUUGCUUCAGUGCUAUAAAGCAUAGCCUAGUUUUCUCUGGAAAUGUGGGGAAUCAAUGGGGAGAGGUAAACAAAACUACUAGGAAUGGAAAAGCAUUAUAGACAGCUCAGAUUUGCUCCCUCCUGGGAAUAUGGAACAUGAGUGCGCCCAACGAUGCUGUCUAGUGUGCUACAGCCGCACAUCUGAGUUUACUCUGAACUAUGCCGCCACUGAUAAAGUUGAAGUUCUUUUUUGCUCAAAUAUUCAAGUUUUUUUUUCCAGCCCCAAGAUGUUCUCAGCUUGCAUGCCAUAUUGCCAAAUAGGUUCUAGAUCCCUGAGAAUUGAUUCAUCUCCUCUAGUGUGGCCUCAGAGGCACUUCUAUGGUGGUGAUGGUGGGGGGGGGAGUUACUAGAGUAAUAUCCCAGCCUGCUGUAGUUUGGAUCUGAAACUUCCUUCAAGGUUUAUGUGAUGAAAACUGUGCCCCAGCCUGUGGGCCCAUGGGGGCGAUGGCAGAGCAUUUAGGGGUAGGGGCUAGGUGGUGGACAUUAGGUCAUUUGCGGGGAUGCCUGUGAGUGGCUCAUUGGCCUUCUAACCCUUUCCCCUCACCUCACACAUGGAGAGCAGCUUUGUUGAAUCACAUGCCCCUUGGCAUCAUUUUCUGCCUCAUAACAGGCCCUAAAACCACUGAAACAACUGAGCACGAUCUUAGUGAAACCAUUGAUAUUGUUAGCCAACUGGUGGCUAAAGAGAUGGGUCAGCAGCCAAGAGCCAUUGCUGCCCUUGCA
rnacentral:lncRNA from 1 species